CUCAAGUAGAGAAAGAGAAUCUAAUUUUUAAUAAGAAAGAUGCUAAGGCCGAUAUUCCUGACGUUAAGAAUCUCCUCUUAUGCUUCGCCAGCACCCAAUAAGGACCACAAAGUGCAUUACUAAUGACCACUGGAGAAGAUCCCUGCCUCUGCCCAACCACAACUUCCUUUUCCGGGAGAGGGGGAUUUUGGGGAUCAACCGGCCCCCAUCCAACCUCAGUUAGAAAGAUGCUAAGGCCGAUAUUCCUGACAUUAAGAAUCUCCUCUUAUGGUUCGCCAGCACCCAAUAAGGACCACAAAGUGCAUUACUAAUGACCACUGGAGAAGAUCCCUGCCUCUGCCCAACCACAACUUCCUUUUCCGGGAGAGGGGGAUUUUGGGGAUCAACCGGCCCCCAUCCAACCUCAGUAUGCUAGAAAUGAACCGCAGUCGCCAGCACAUCAGGAUCCCAAUCCAUGUAAGGAUCCUGUUUGGAUCUUUCAACACGACACCAUUAAACAUCGUCUUUCAACUGUGACUCCACAACGUGACGUAAACGACGAUGAAAUUGAUGCGAUAAUAAGGUUAAAGAGAGGUAUUAUCGCUCGCAUGGCCCAGUUGGAUCCCAAUCCAUUCUGGACUCAGCAAAAAGAGAGCUUGGUCGCUAACGGAAUCUUAAAUAAAGAUGCAGAGUUUACUAGGAAGACGCUGAUGGAAUACUUUACUAAAUUAGAAACCGAAGAAGGGAAAGAGUCUUGUAUUUAUCAAAAACUUCUCAAAACAAGAGA
rnacentral:lncRNA from 1 species